AUGCCUCGAGAGGUUAUUGAUUUCAACAAUGUCGAACAAGCAGUGCGAUGGAUAAUCUUUUAUCUAGAGGAACUAAGCAAUACGGGACACAAGAGCAUCUAUUUUGAUGGAUGGCGUGGGUUGGCUGCAUCGGCAGUGCUUAGGAGAAUAGCUGAAGACCCUCCACCAUCUCUGCAGAAAAAAUUUGACAAGAUUAUCCAUAUCGAUUGCUCGAGAUGGAAAAGCCGAAGAGCACUCCAGAGGACAAUUGCACAACAAGUGAAGCUUCCUAAAUGGGUAAUGGAUAAUUUUGAUACGCAAGACGAUGAAGAUGAUUUCCGUGGGAUAGAUGAAGGCUCGAGAGAUGAAAUAGAAUGUGUUGGGAGAGAGAUCAUUCAGAUCCUUUUGGGGCAAAGAUGUUUAGUGGUAUUUCAUAAUGGAAGCAAUGAUAUGGUUAAUUUAAGAGAUUAUGGAAUUCUUCAAGGGAAAUUUUUUGAUACUACAUUAUUGUGGACAUUUCGAGGAAGGUUUCGGCUAUACCCAGGAAUUGGUAGAAAGGUGGAUCGUUCCCAUCUAUUUCUCUAUAGUGGGAGGAGUCCUUUAGGCUGGAAUUAUUUCCUUGAGAACGAGGCUAGAGAAAUUGCUAGAUAUGCAGAUAAGCUUGACGAAGUAGCUACAGAGUGCUCCUUGUAUCUCUUAUCAUUAAACUCUCAGGGAGGCAACAUUGUGGACUAUGGUUGGCCCACCCAUGCUUCUAGUUAUUGGGUAUGUGAUGGGAUUAUACAGGGAGGUCAGGGUGAGGAAGCAUGGGAGGCUGCAGCUGCUCUACAUCACCAAAUAUGUAUAAAGGACUAUUCAUCUAAUACAGUGCCCUCUUUUGGCUGUGAACUGAAGACUCCUCCGAAGCGGUGGAUAUUGGCCAGGGGCAACUCUGAAACACAUGCAAGGACAAAAACAGACACAAUGAGUUUUCAUCCAGAGUCGACAUCCCUUUUCCUCGUAGCAAUCGCAAGCGGAUCUGAUCCUCCAUUGUGGUCAUUAUCUAAUGACAUGUUUCAUCAAUCGAAGAAUCUUCAUGUGCUCAAAUUAUGCGGCUGCACCUUCAGUUUUACAUGUCCACCUUUUCAUUGUUGCCGCAACUUAAGAUUCCUCGGGUUAGAUAGCUGCCAGAAUAUACGACCAGAAGAAGAUGAGAAGCCAGAUAUAGUAACAAUGGAUUUUGUUAAGAGCCUAUGGGUGAUAGACAUAUGCCAUACAGAUUGGGAUCUGCCCUCGUCACCAGAGAUAAUAGAGCAGAUGGCUGCAAAUAUGAGGGAAGUACAUAUAAAGAAUGGAAGGUUUUGGCAUAACAUUUCUGUAUGGGGACAACUACAUAAUCUACGCAAGCUUCGCAUAAUUGAUCCUACUUGCACUUUGGAAACAGGCGAAAAGAAUGAAUUCAGGUUUUUUCCCAGCUUGUCAAGAUCAACUAGCCUCAGGACUCUAGUUCUAGAUGGUUGUGUUAGUUUGGAGAAAAUUGAAGGACUACCCCUAUCACUCGAAGUAUUCAGCUUAGUUGCAGGAGUAAGAAAGGAUGAUUGCCAGGAAGCCAAAAUAAGCUGCAUCUCCUUGGUUGGUUGUGCAAGAUUAUCUGACUUCACACUUCAUGGAUCACUUCCAAACCUUGAGGAGCUUGACCUCUCAGGCACAAGAGUCAAGACACUUGACCUCACAACUCAGGCUGUGCAUGUCCCAUGUCUCCAACGAGUUGUGUUGUUGGGAUGUGAGCAACUCCGAGCUAUCCUUUGGCCAAAAAAGGGGAUGGCCCAACUAAGUUUGCUUUGCAUUGACACUCGAGGAGAAGAGAUGACGAGAACACUACCAGUUUUUGAGAAGUUAAAAAAGGGUCAUUGUCAAGCAUAUGUUGCUAUGAUGGACAUGAAAUUUAUUCAAUUGUUGGUGCUCACAAGUUCCAACAUGUUUUGGAAUUCUGACACUUAUAUGUUUAGUCUAAAUCUCUGCAUAUCUGCUUGUGGACAGUGUAACAAGAAGGAGAUGGAAUCAAGUAGCCAUGGGAAAAUAUUGGGGCCAGCCCAACCAAAGUCAUUAAUCACCAAUCCUUCUCAAUGCCCCUACAUUGAUAUAUAUAUUGAUGACAUAACUAUUGAUCAUGACUAUAAUAGUGCAUCACAAUUUCGGCCGUCGGGCUGCCAUGUGGAGAUUGGUGAGGGGAUUAGCAACACUGGCAUGGAGAGCAUACAAGGAAAUAAGGCUAUAUUCUAUGUGAUGGAGAAGGCUGAGUCAUUGGAUGUGCACGAUAAUUCUUCCAUCGCCACUGUUAUCCCUGAACUUAUGAUGUCUACAGAACAACAGAAACUUACAUGGAAACAUCUGAAAUCUUGUCACGUGGUGAGAUGCCCUAAGAUGCAUACGGUCUUCGAUACUAUGUGUAGGUACUCUAAAUUUCAAGAACUACUGAACAUUUGGGUGUCUGAUCUCUUGAUGACCCAAAGCAUUUGGAGCAAACAUUGGACAUCGGAUCAUGAAGACCAUUAUUCCUUUGUGAAACUACAGAGGAUACACCUGUUCUCUUGCCCAAGGCUCAAAUUUGUCCUCGUGAUGUCUAGGUUAUACACCUUGAGAAGCUUGGAGAUCCUCCACAUCGUAUUUUGUGGUGAUCUAAGGCAGGUGUUCCCGGUGGAGCCAGAGAUUAUGCCACUGAUAACUAGAUCCUGGCAUAUCAAUAGCCGGUGCCCUAAAGGUGCACUGGAAUUCCCAAACCUGAAGCAUAUCUACCUACAUGAGCUCCAUAAGCUGCAAGAUAUAUGCGAAGCCAAGAUGUUUGCUCCCAAGCUUGAGACAUUCAAGGUGAGGGGAUGUUGGGGUCUCAGGCGCCUCCCUGCAACUGGUCAAGAAAGCCGCCCCGUCGUGGACUGCGAGAAGGACUGGUGGGAGAAGUUGGAGUGGGACGGGCCGGAGGCCGGCCACGACCCUUCGCUCUUUGUUCCUCGCCACUCGGCAUAUUACAAGAAGAAGCUGCCUAGAGCCUCAGUUCUCCGGUGA
rnacentral:rRNA from 1 species